rnacentral:siRNA from 1 species
GAUGGCUUCAACGGCGAAAGAGGA